rnacentral:lncRNA from 14 species
CGCUCCUCACCUCCUACCUCCACCCCCCACCCCUACUUCACUCCAGCACCACUCGGGGCUGGGAAACCUGCAUUUACGAGAGUGUGAUUCCACAGCGCCUCUGCGGCCGUGGGUUCCUUGCGCCGCACAGCGGUCGGGGACCACUGUGGUUUCUCUUUUGAGGUACCUGCUUUUGCCGAGGCCAGCAGAAGUCCAGCGGCAGUCCUGGUCCUACAAGAAGACCAAGCACGAGCCAGCUCACCAGACAAAAUGCAUGCUGGUGCUGGGGACAAGCAGCUUCUUUUCGAGUGCUCCUGAAGUGGAGGUGCUACCAUUCGCUCCUACCGAGACCAAGAAAUGGAGGUGGAGGCAGUGUCAGCUUGAGCUUUACCAAGCACUUCACGGUACCUUAUCCAAAAGCGACAAUAUAAUUGGUCACAAACAAGGCCUCAACAGAUACAGGAAGAGUGAAAUAUUCCCAUGCAUCCUAGCAGAUAAUCAUGGACUAACGGUAAUCUAUAAAAACAACAAAAACAACAGAAAG